rnacentral:rRNA from 1 species
UGUGUCUCUCAUGAUGUUAGCGGCGGAGGGGGGAGUAGCACGUGAGUCACCCGGCUGUAGGACUGGGAUAACUCCGGGAAACCGGGGCUAAUACCGGAUGGUUGUUUGAACCGCAUGGUUCCUACAUAAAAGGGGGCUUCGGCUACCACUUACAGAUGGACCCGCGGCGCAUUAGCUAGUUGGUGAGGUAACGGCUCACCAAGGCGACGAUGCGUAGCCGACCUGAGAGGGUGAUCGGCCACACUGGGACUGAGACACGGCCCAAACUCCUACGGGAGGCAGCAGUAGGGAAUCUUCCGCAAUGAACGAAAGUCUGACGGAGCGACGCCGCGGGAGUGAUGAAGGUUUUCGGAUCGUAAAGCUCUGUUGUUAGGGAAAAACAAGUGCCGUUCUAAUAGCGUGGCCCCUUGACGGAACCUAACCAAAAUCCCCCGGCUAACUCCGGGCCAGCAGCCGGGGGAAUACGUAGGUGGCAAGUGUUGUCCGGAAUUAUUGGGCGAAAAGGUUUCGAAGGCGGUUUCUUCUGGGCGUAAAGGCGCUCGCUAGGCUGGUUUUCUUUAAAGUUCUUGAUGUGAAAGUCCCCCGGCUCAACCCGGGGGAGGGGUCAUUUGGAAACUGGGCGAACUUAGAGUGCUAGAUAGAGGAGAGUGGAAUUUCACUGUGUAGCGGUGAAAUGCGUAGAGAUGUGGGAGGAACACCCAGUGGCGAAGGCGACUCUCUGGUCUGUAUACUGACGCUGAGGAGCGAAAGCGUGGGGAGCGAACAGGAUUAGAUACCCUGGUAGUCCACGCCGUAAACGAUGAGUGCUAAGUGUUAGGGAGGUUUCCGCUCCUUAGUGCUGCAGCUAACGCAUUAAAGCACUCCCCCUGGGGAGUACGGUCGCAAGACUGAAACUCAAAGGAAUUGACGGGGGCCCGCCCAAGCGGGGGGAGCAUGUGGUUUAUUUCGAAGCAACGCGAAGACCCUUCCCAGGUCUUGACUUCCUCUGACAAUCCUAGAGAUAGGACGUCCCCUUCGGGGCCAGAGUGACAGGUGGUGCAUGGUUGUCGUCAGCUCGUGUCGUGAGAUGUUGGGUUAAGUCCCGCAACGAGCGCAACCCUUGAUUUUAGUUGCCAGCAUUCAGUUGGGCCCUUUAAGGGAGCCUCCGGUGGCCAACCGGAGGAAGGUGGGGAAGGCGUCCAAUUCUCCUUGCCCUUAUGGCCUGGGCUACCCCCCUGCUUCCAUGGACAGAACCAAGGGCAGCGCAACCCCGAGGUUGAACCAAUUCCCCAAAUCUGUUUUCAAUUCGGAUUGCAGUUUGCCACUUGGCUGCGUGAAACUGGAAUCGCUAGUAAUCGCGGAUCAACAAUGCCCGGUGGAUUCGUUUCCGGGCCUUGUUCCCCCCGCGCGUC